AUGAGAAGAAUUGAAGACUUUAGAGCUUGUCAUGAUAUUGCAAGCCUAGCUAAAAGGAUGGUUGAACUUCAAAGGAAUGUUAUGUUUCCUGCCGUUUAUCACCUCAUUGAGUUGGCAUUGCUACUACCGGUAGCGAUGGCAACAGUUGAAAGAGCCUUCUCAUCAAUGAAAAUCAUCGACACUGAGUUGUGCAGCAAGAUGUCUGAUGCCUGGUUUAAUGACUUGAUGGUGUGUUACAUUGAGUGA
rnacentral:rRNA from 1 species